rnacentral:rRNA from 1 species
UACGUAGGGGGCAAGCGUUGUCCGGAUUUACUGGGCGGAAAGGGCUCGUAGGUGGUCAACUAAGUCGGACGUGAAAUCCCUCGGCUUAACCGGGGAACUGCGUCCGAUACUGGAUGACUUGAGUUCGGGAGAGGGAUGCGGAAUUCCAGGUGUAGCGGUGAAAUGCGUAGAUAUCUGGAGGAACACCGGUGGCGAAGGCGGCAUCCUGGACCGACACUGACGCUGAGGAGCGAAAGCCAGGGGAGCAAACGGG